UAAGCAUACUGGAAAGUGUGCUUGGA
rnacentral:piRNA from 4 species